GACGAACCGUGCGAACGUUGUUCGGAAUCACUGGGCUUAAAGGGCGCGUAGGCGGGCUGCCAAGUCCGGGGUGAAAUCCCACGGCUCAACCGUGGAACUGCCUUGGAUACUGGCGGCCUCGAGGGAGGUAGGGGCAUGCGGAACUGUGGGUGGAGCGGUGAAAUGCGUUGAUAUCCACAGGAACUCCGGUGGCGAAAGCGGCGUGCUGGACCUUUUCUGACGCUGAGUGCGCGAAAGCUAGGGGAGCAAACGGG
rnacentral:rRNA from 1 species